rnacentral:rRNA from 1 species
UUGUAAACCUCUUUCAGCAGGGAAUAAGCGAAGUGAAGGUACCUGCAGAAGAAGCACCGGCUAACUAUGUGCCAGCAGCCGCGGUAAUACAUAGGGUGCAAGCGUUGUCCGGAAUUAUUGGGCGUAAAGAGCUCGUAGGUGGUCGAUCACGUCGGAUGUGAAAAUCUGAGGCUUAACCUCAGACCUGCAUUCGAUACGGGUUGACUAGAGUGUGGUAGGGGAGACUGGAAUUCCUGGUGUAGCGGUGGAAUGUGCAGAUAUCAGGAGGAACACCGAUGGCGAAGGCAGGUCUCUGGGCCAUUACUGACACUGAGGAGCGAAAGUGUGGGGAGCGAACAGGAUUAGAUACCCUGGUAGUCCACACCGUAAACGGUGGGCGCUAGUUGUGGGAACCUUCCACGGUUUCUGCGACGCAGCUAACGCAUUAAGCGCCCCGCCUGGGGAGUACGGUCGCAAGACUAAAACUCAAAGAAAUUGACGGGGGCCCGCACAAGCGGUGGAGCAUGUGGUUUAAUUCCGAUGCAACGCGAAGAGCUUUACUGGGCUUGAGUUUCUGAAAGUUUCCGACACGGCUUGGGCCUUGGGAAUUAAGACCGGGGCGAUGGUGUGCAGCCGUUCGGAAUGUGGUAAUCCGA